rnacentral:rRNA from 1 species
GACGAACGCUGGCGGCGUGCUUAACACAUGCAAGUCGAACGGAAAGGCCCUGCUUUUGUGGGGUGCUCGGGUGGCGAACGGGUGAGUAACACGUGAGUAACCUGCCCUGGACUUUGGGAUAACUUCAGGAAACUGGGGCUAAUACCGGAUAGGAGCUCCUGCUGCUUGGUGGGGGUUGGAAAGUUUCGGCGGUUGGGGCUGGACUCGCGGCUUAUCAGCUUGUUGGUGGGGUAGUGGCUUACCAAGGCUUUGACGGGUAGCCGGCCUGAGAGGGUGACCGGCCACAUUGGGACUGAGAUACGGCCCAGAAUCCUACGGGAGGCAGCAGUGGGGAAUAUUGCACAAUGGGCGGAAGGCUGAUGCAGCAACGCCGCGUGCGGGAUGACGGCCUUCGGGUUGUAAACCGCUUUCGCCUGGGACGAAGCGGGAGUGACGGUAAUGGGUAAAGAAGCACCGGCUAACUACGUG